rnacentral:rRNA from 1 species
GAACGGGCCAACGAGUUACGUUAAGUAGCAAGGUUAAGCACUUAAGGUGCGGAGCCGUAGCGAAAGCGAGUUUUAAUGAGCGUUCAGUUACUUGACGUAGACCCGAAACCGGGCGACCUACCCAUGAGCAGGAUGAAGCGAAAGUAAAAUUUCGUGGGGGUCCGAACCCACGAGCGUUGAAAAGCUCGGGGAUGACUUGUGGGUAGCGGUGAAAUUCCAAUCGAGCCCGGAGAUAGCUGGUUCUCCCCGAAAUAGCUUUAGGGCUAGCCUCAAGGUGAGAGAUACGGAGGUAGAGCACUGAAUGUCCUAGGGG